UAGUCAUAUGCUUGUCUCAGAGAUUAAGCCAUGCAUGUCUAAGCACAAGCCGAUUAAUGGUGAAGCCGCGAAUGGCUCAUUACAACAGCCAUAGUUUCUUAGAUCUUACUUUUCUACUUGGAUAACUGUGGUAAUUCUAGAGCUAAUACACGCAAACAAGCUCAGACCUUACGGAAUGAGCGCAUUUAUUAGAACAAAAACCAAUCGGGCUUCGGUCCGUCAUUUGGUGAAUCUGAAUAACUUUGCUGAUCGCACGGUCUUCGUACCGGCGACAUAUCUUUCAAAUGUCUGCCUUAUCAACUUUCGAUGGUAGUUUAUGCGCCUACCAUGGUUGUAACGGGUAACGGAGAAUAAGGGUUCGACUCCGGAGAGGGAGCCUGAGAAACGGCUACCACAUCCAAGGAAGGCAGCAGGCACGCAAAUUACCCACUCCCGGCACGGGGAGGUAGUGACGAAAAAUAACGAGACGGCUCGCUAUGCGGUCCGUCAUCGGAAUGGGUACAAUUUAAAUCCUUUAACGAGGAUCUAUU
rnacentral:rRNA from 1 species